rnacentral:misc_RNA from 1 species
UCUCCGUAGGUGAACCUGCGGAGGGAUCAUUACUGAGUGAGGGUUUAACCGCCCGACCUCCAACCCUUUGUGAAUCGUACUCGUUGCUUCGGGGGCGACCCUGCCGUUCGCGGCGUGGGCCCCCCGGAGCCCAUCAAACCCUGCGUAACUGAGUCGUCGGAGUUUAAACAAAUUAAACAAAACUUUCAACAACGGAUCUCUUGGUUCGGGCAUCGAUGAAGAACGCAGC